ensembl:piRNA 21ur-10427 ncRNA
UAUUAGACGUGUUGAAAAAAU